GAUGAACGCUAGCUACAGGCUUAACACAUGCAAGUCGAGGGGCAGCGGUAUCGAAAGCUUGCUUUCGGUAGCCGGCGACCGGCGCACGGGUGAGUAACGCGUAUCGAACCUGCCUCAUACUCGGGAAUAGCCUUGCGAAAGUAAGAUUAAUGCCCGGUGUGUUCAGAGUCCCGCAUUAGGCUUUGAACAAAGAUUUAUCGGUAUGAGAUGGCGAUGCGUCCCAUUAGCUUGUUGGCGGGGUAACGGCCCACCAAGGCAUCGAUGGGUAGGGGUUCUGAGAGGAAGGUCCCCCAGAGUGGAACUGAGACACGGGCCAAAGUCCUACGGGAGGCAGCAGUGAGGAAGAUUGGUCAAUGGGAGGAAGCCUGAUCCAGCCAAGUAGCGUGCAGGAAGACGGCCCUCCGGGUUGUAAACUGCUUUUAGUUGGGAAUAAAACGGGGCUCGUGAGCCCCCUUGCAUGUACCAUCAGAAAAAGGACCGGCUAAUUCCGUG
rnacentral:rRNA from 1 species